UUACCUGGUCUUGACAUCCACGGAAUUUGGCAGAGAUGCCUUAGUGCCUUCGGGAACCGUGAGACAGGUGCUGCAUGGCUGUCGUCAGCUCGUGUUGUGAAAUGUUGGGUUAAGUCCCGCAACGAGCGCAACCCUUAUCCUUUGUUGCCAGCGGUCCGGCCGGGAACUCAAAGGAGACUGCCAGUGAUAAACUGGAGGAAGGUGGGGAUGACGUCAAGUCAUCAUGGCCCUUACGACCAGGGCUACACACGUGCUACAAUGGCAUAUACAAAGAGAAGCGACCUCGCGAGAGCAAGCGGACCUCAUAAAGUUUCUAGUCCGGAUUGGAGUCUGCAACUCGACUCCAUGAAGUCGGAAUCGCUAGUAAUCGUG
rnacentral:rRNA from 1 species